rnacentral:scRNA from 1 species
ACAUCACACCCGGCGACGGGCAGGAGGCACAUCAU